CACUGAAGUUAAGCAUCAUUGGGCGCGGUCAGUACUUGGGUGGGUGACCACCUGGGAACACUGCGUGCCGUU